UACGGGGGGGGCAAGCGUUGUUCGGAAUCACUGGGCGUAAAGGGCGCGUAGGCGGCUUUUCAAGUCGGGCGUGAAAUCUCCGGGCUUAACCCGGAAGGGUCGUUCGAUACUGUUGAGCUAGAGUGUGGAAGAGGCAACUAGAAUUCCGUGUGUAGCGGUGAAAUGCGUAGAUAUACGGAGGAAUACCUGAGGCGAAGGCGGGUUGCUGGGCCAACACUGACGCUGAGGCGCGAAAGCCAGGGGAGCAAACGGG
rnacentral:rRNA from 1 species